rnacentral:rRNA from 1 species
GUGAGGAAUAUUGGUCAAUGGGCGAGAGCCUGAACCAGCCAAGUCGCGUGAAGGAUGAAGGUUUUAUGAAUUGUAAACUUCUUUUGUAGGGGAAUAAAGUACGGUACGUGUACCGUUUUGUAUGUACUCUGCGAAUAAGGAUCGGCUAACUCCGUGCCAGCAGCCGCGGUAAUACGGAGGAUCCAAGCGUUAUCCGGAUUUAUUGGGUUUAAAGGGUGCGCAGGCGGGUUGAUAAGUCAGCGGUGAAAGUUUGCAGCUUAACUGUAAAAUUGCCGUUGAAACUGUCGAUCUUGAGUGCAAAUGAGGUAAGCGGAAUGUGUUGUGUAGCGGUGAAAUGCUUAGAUAUAACACAGAACACCGAUUGCGAAGGCAGCUUACUGGGAUGCAACUGACGCUCAUGCACGAAAGCGUGGGGAUCAAACAGGAUUAGAAACCCGAGUAGUCC